rnacentral:rRNA from 1 species
GUGAACGCUGGCGGUGGGCCUAACACAUGCAAGUCGAACGGCAGCACCGUAAGAGCUUGCUCUUACGGGUGGCGAGUGGCGGACGGGUGAGGAAUACAUCGGAAUCUACUUUUUCGUGGGGGAUAACGUAGGGAAACUUACGCUAAUACCGCAUACGACCUACGGGUGAAAGCAGGGGAUCUUCGGACCUUGCGCGAUUGAAUGAGCCGAUGUCGGAUUAGCUAGUUGGCGGGGUAAAGGCCCACCAAGGCGACGAUCCGUAGCUGGUCUGAGAGGAUGAUCAGCCACACUGGAACUGAGACACGGUCCAGACUCCUACGGGAGGCAGCAGUGGGGAAUAUUGGACAAUGGGCGCAAGCCUGAUCCAGCCAUACCGCGUGGGUGAAGAAGGCCUUCGGGUUGUAAAGCCCUUUUGUUGGGAAAGAAAAGCAGCAGGUUAAUACCCCGCUGUUCUGACGGUACCCAAAGAAUAAGCACCGGCUAACUUCGUG